rnacentral:misc_RNA from 1 species
UCUCCGUUGGUGAACCAGCGGAGGGAUCAUUACAGAGUUGCAAAACUCCCAAACCAUUGUGAACGUUACCUAUCCCGUUGCUUCGGCGGGCGGCCCGGGCCCCGCGCCCGGCGCCCCCCGGCCCCCCGUGGGCGCCCGCCGGAGGUAUACCAAACCCUUGAAUUGCAUGGCCUCUCUGAGUCUUCUGUACUGAAUAAGUCAAGACUUUCAACAACGGAUCUCUUGGUUCUG